rnacentral:lncRNA from 1 species
ACCAUGAGGAAAUUAAGAUGGAAACUACCACUAUCUACAGGCAUACCUUGCAGAUAUUGCAGGUUUGGUUUCAGACCAGCACAACAAAUUGAAUAUUGUCAUAAAGUGAUUCUCAGUACAGGCUUGUGUGUGUUCCAGGGCAGGGCUGUAGAAAUGGAAAAUAUAUGGUCUUCCCCACUCCUUUCCAAGGCAAAGUGCAGUGACCCGGAAACCCUAGCAGUCUACCGGGAGAAGAGUGGAGGCUACAUUUCCUAGGUGUAGCAGUAGACAGUGAUUUUUUUUUUCAGGCUGCUGCUUAGUUCAACACCCAAUGACUUUACAUCAGACAUUUGUACAUUUUUGAUCCAUACUGGGCAUUUUUCUUCCUUCAGUUGGGCUAAAUAAGAACUUUACAUUUUUAGGGUGCCAGCAAUGGGCACUAACGUGAUGAGUUUGUAGUUCUGUGAAGCAUUCCACAUUUUUCAUUUUUCUUUCAUUACUUUCAAAACCUUUUUUUUUUUAUGAGGGAGGCACAGUGAGAUGGCUGAGUAGAAGCCUCCACUGAUUGUCCCCGCAACAGGAACACCAAACUUAACAACUAUCCACACAAAAAAGCACCUUCAUAAGAACAAAAAAUCAGGUGAGUGAUCACAGUACCUGGUUUUAACUUCAUAUCACUGAAAGAGGCAUUGAAGAGGGCAGGAAAGACACCCUUGAAUUACUGACACCACCUCACUCCCAUCCUUCUGGCAACAGCCGCAUGGCAUGAAGACAGAAUAUGUAUGCUUGUGGGAGGACAAUGCAGUGACUGAAGGACUUUACAUUGAAACUCAGUGCUGUGCUGUCACAGUAGAAAGCAACACCAAGCUGAACUCAGCUGAUGUCCACGGAGGAAGCAUAGACAGGCCCUAGCAAGAGGGGCAUUACCCAUCUCAGCAAUCAGAACUUGAGUUUUGGU